UUAAGCGACUAAGCGUACACGGUGGAUGCCCUGGCAGUCAGAGGCGAUGAAGGACGUGCUAAUCUGCGAUAAGCGUCGGUAAGGUGAUAUGAACCGUUAUAACCGGCGAUUUCCGAAUGGGGAAACCCAGUGUGAUUCGUCACACUAUCAUUAACUGAAUCCAUAGGUUAAUGAGGCGAACCGGGGGAACUGAAACAUCUAAGUACCCCGAGGAAAAGAAAUCAACCGAGAUUCCCCCAGUAGCGGCGAGCGAACGGGGAGGAGCCCAGAGCCUGAAUCAGUGUGUGUGUUAGUGGAAGCGUCUGGAAAGGCGCGCGAUACAGGGUGACAGCCCCGUACACAAAAAUGCACAUGCUGUGAGCUCGAUGAGUAGGGCGGGACACGUGGUAUCCUGUCUGAAUAUGGGGGGACCAUCCUCCAAGGCUAAAUACUCCUGACUGACCGAUAGUGAACCAGUACCGUGAGGGAAAGGCGAAAAGAACCCCGGCGAGGGGAGUGAAAAAGAACCUGAAACCGUGUACGUACAAGCAGUGGGAGCCUCUUUAUGGGGUGACUGCGUACCUUUUGUAUAAUGGGUCAGCGACUUAUAUUCUGUAGCAAGGUUAACCGAAUAGGGGAGCCGAAGGGAAACCGAGUCUUAACUGGGCGUUAAGUUGCAGGGUAUAGACCCGAAACCCGGUGAUCUAGCCAUGGGCAGGUUGAAGGUUGGGUAACACUAACUGGAGGACCGAACCGACUAAUGUUGAAAAAUUAGCGGAUGACUUGUGGCUGGGGGUGAAAGGCCAAUCAAACCGGGAGAUAGCUGGUUCUCCCCGAAAGCUAUUUAGGUAGCGCCUCGUGAAUUCAUCUCCGGGGGUAGAGCACUGUUUCGGCAAGGGGGUCAUCCCGACUUACCAACCCGAUGCAAACUGCGAAUACCGGAGAAUGUUAUCACGGGAGACACACGGCGGGUGCUAACGUCCGUCGUGAAGAGGGAAACAACCCAGACCGCCAGCUAAGGUCCCAAAGUCAUGGUUAAGUGGGAAACGAUGUGGGAAGGCCCAGACAGCCAGGAUGUUGGCUUAGAAGCAGCCAUCAUUUAAAGAAAGCGUAAUAGCUCACUGGUCGAGUCGGCCUGCGCGGAAGAUGUAACGGGGCUAAACCAUGCACCGAAGCUGCGGCAGCGACGCUUAUGCGUUGUUGGGUAGGGGAGCGUUCUGUAAGCCUGUGAAGGUGUGCUGUGAGGCAUGCUGGAGGUAUCAGAAGUGCGAAUGCUGACAUAAGUAACGAUAAAGCGGGUGAAAAGCCCGCUCGCCGGAAGACCAAGGGUUCCUGUCCAACGUUAAUCGGGGCAGGGUGAGUCGACCCCUAAGGCGAGGCCGAAAGGCGUAGUCGAUGGGAAACAGGUUAAUAUUCCUGUACUUGGUGUUACUGCGAAGGGGGGACGGAGAAGGCUAUGUUGGCCGGGCGACGGUUGUCCCGGUUUAAGCGUGUAGGCUGGUUUUCCAGGCAAAUCCGGAAAAUCAAGGCUGAGGCGUGAUGACGAGGCACUACGGUGCUGAAGCAACAAAUGCCCUGCUUCCAGGAAAAGCCUCUAAGCAUCAGGUAACAUCAAAUCGUACCCCAAACCGACACAGGUGGUCAGGUAGAGAAUACCAAGGCGCUUGAGAGAACUCGGGUGAAGGAACUAGGCAAAAUGGUGCCGUAACUUCGGGAGAAGGCACGCUGAUAUGUAGGUGAAGUCCCUCGCGGAUGGAGCUGAAAUCAGUCGAAGAUACCAGCUGGCUGCAACUGUUUAUUAAAAACACAGCACUGUGCAAACACGAAAGUGGACGUAUACGGUGUGACGCCUGCCCGGUGCCGGAAGGUUAAUUGAUGGGGUCAGCGCAAGCGAAGCUCUUGAUCGAAGCCCCGGUAAACGGCGGCCGUAACUAUAACGGUCCUAAGGUAGCGAAAUUCCUUGUCGGGUAAGUUCCGACCUGCACGAAUGGCGUAAUGAUGGCCAGGCUGUCUCCACCCGAGACUCAGUGAAAUUGAACUCGCUGUGAAGAUGCAGUGUACCCGCGGCAAGACGGAAAGACCCCGUGAACCUUUACUAUAGCUUGACACUGAACAUUGAGCCUUGAUGUGUAGGAUAGGUGGGAGGCUUUGAAGUGUGGACGCCAGUCUGCAUGGAGCCGACCUUGAAAUACCACCCUUUAAUGUUUGAUGUUCUAACGUUGACCCGUAAUCCGGGUUGCGGACAGUGUCUGGUGGGUAGUUUGACUGGGGCGGUCUCCUCCUAAAGAGUAACGGAGGAGCACGAAGGUUGGCUAAUCCUGGUCGGACAUCAGGAGGUUAGUGCAAUGGCAUAAGCCAGCUUGACUGCGAGCGUGACGGCGCGAGCAGGUGCGAAAGCAGGUCAUAGUGAUCCGGUGGUUCUGAAUGGAAGGGCCAUCGCUCAACGGAUAAAAGGUACUCCGGGGAUAACAGGCUGAUACCGCCCAAGAGUUCAUAUCGACGGCGGUGUUUGGCACCUCGAUGUCGGCUCAUCACAUCCUGGGGCUGAAGUAGGUCCCAAGGGUAUGGCUGUUCGCCAUUUAAAGUGGUACGCGAGCUGGGUUUAGAACGUCGUGAGACAGUUCGGUCCCUAUCUGCCGUGGGCGCUGGAGAACUGAGGGGGGCUGCUCCUAGUACGAGAGGACCGGAGUGGACGCAUCACUGGUGUUCGGGUUGUCAUGCCAAUGGCACUGCCCGGUAGCUAAAUGCGGAAGAGAUAAGUGCUGAAAGCAUCUAAGCACGAAACUUGCCCCGAGAUGAGUUCUCCCUGACCCUUUAAGGGUCCUGAAGGAACGUUGAAGACGACGACGUUGAUAGGCCGGGUGUGUAAGCGCAGCGAUGCGUUGAGCUAACCGGUACUAAUGAACCGUGAGGCUUAACCUU
rnacentral:rRNA from 1 species